GAUGAACGCUGGCGGCAUGCCUAACACAUGCAAGUUGAACGAGAAGUUCUGGAACAAGUCUUCGGACAAGGGAAGGGACGGGAAGUAGCGAACGGGUGAGUAACGCGUGGGCAACCAACCUUACACAGGGGGAUAACGCAGAGAAAUUUGCGCUAAUACCGCAUAAGCGCACAGGAUCACAUGAUCCGGUGUGAAAAACUCCGGUGGUGUAAGACGGGCCCGCGUCUGAUUAGCUAGUUGGUGAGGUAAGGGCUCACCAAGGCGACGAUCAGUAGCCGACCUGAGAGGGUGAUCGGCCACAUUGGGACUGAGACACGGCCCAAACUCCUACGGGAGGCAGCAGUGGGGGAUAUUGCACAAUGGAGGGAACUCUGAUGCAGCAAUGCCGCGUGAAGGAAGAAGGUUUUCGGAUUGUAAACUUCUAUCAGCAGGGAAGAAAAUGACGUACCUGACUAAGAGCCC
rnacentral:rRNA from 1 species